rnacentral:lncRNA from 1 species
AUGUAGAGAGAAGAAGAGAGAAAGAAAGAGAAGGGCUGCCAUCAGCAGCCCUGCUGCCACCAGCAGCUGCUGCCCUAUGUAGCAAUGAGAGAUGGGAGUUGAGUGAAUGUGAUCCUCCUCCAUGUGUUGUAUUCUUUCUCUAUCUCUAAAUAAAAUGAACCUCUCCCGUGGAUGUAGGCAAUUUGCCGAACCACGUUAAAUAUUGUGUCUCAGUGUGCUUAACCCUCCUAUGAGCAAAGAUCAGUACAUCACCGGUCCCGGAUUCCGCCCAAUCAAAUGGUAUCAGAGCUUUUUGGUUUAAAGUGGUGUUUGAUCUUUGCUCAAAAAUGAAAGUUGUCAAAAUUGUGUUUUGACCAUCCCACCGUGUAGAGGAGGACGAUACGAAGCCACUGGUGAAAACGGCGUCAAAAUCGGACGUCGGACAUGGCCGCACUCUCCAUCACUCUCCGGCAAGGCGUCUACCCACGCGCGCCAACGCGCCCCACGCGUCUUCUUCACCCGGAUGAGUUGACCCGACCCAUGUGAACAGUAGACAUGAACAGUGACGUAUCAUGAACAGUGCCAUGCAAAGGAUGACGUCAUCAUGAUGCAAGGAUGACAUCACAUACACAGUCAGCAAGUCAAUUGACUAGUCAACUAACAUGUCAGCAUAGCGGGACCCACCUGCCAUGUCAUCAGCCGCGAGCCGAGCCAAGCUGAGCCGAGUGGAGCCGAGCUGAGUUGGAGCCGAGCCGAGCCGCGAGCCGAGGGAUAGGAUCCAGUGUAGCUGAUCCUACGUGCAACCGGAUCUGAUAGUGAAUCUGAGCCGUUUAUCAGGCCAGAAUUGUUUUGAUCAAAUCUUAGCCGUCUGAAGUGCGAUUUGGACGAUUCAAGACAUGUUUCCAGCUAAUUUGAUCAUUCCGGAUGCAAUGGUAUGGUCCGAUUGUUGAGAUUCGAGACCAAAAAUGACAAUGGUGAAUUAUGGUGGUCGAUGGAGAUGAAGAAGAAGAAGGUGCACAUGUUUACCCAAUUAUAUGUGCCAAACUAUGAGCCACAAUAGGAGCCCUAGUUUAGAUCAUCGCAUAACGACAAGCGGAGACACCUUAGAGAAGGUGUGAGGGCCAUGAAAGGAGCCCAUUUCAGAACGCUCCAGAAAACGUGUGCUGAAGAAGUAAGAUGACAAUUGCCCACAUAAAUGGCAAAGGGGGUGAUUGUUGGAAUAUUGCCAAUUAUGUGGCUGCCUUGUCAAAGAAGAUGGCUGCCAUGUGAGAGUCAAAGAAGGAGGCUUGUUGGUGGCAACCACCAACCUUGACUUUGGUAGCCACCAUUGUUGAAGAAGAGAAGAAGUUGGCAGCCAUCUUUGUUGAAGAAGAGAUGAGUUUGGCAGCCACCAUUGAUGACAAAGGAGCAAGAAGAGCUGCCAUUGAAGCCUAUAAAUAGACACCAAGAGUGCAUCACAAAGUGUGAGAGUUGUGAGACAUGUAGAGAGAAGAAGAGAGAAAGAAAGAGAAGGGCUGCCAUCAGCAGCCCUGCUGCCUUAAGCAGCUGCUGCCCCAUGUAGCAAUGAGAGAUGGGAGUUGAGUGGAUGUGAUCCUCCUCCAUGUGUUGUAUUCUUUCUCUAUCUCUAAAUAAAAUGAACCUCUCCCGUGGAUGUAGACAAUUUGCCGAACCACGUUAAAUAUUGUGUCUCAGUGUGCUUACCCCUCCGAUGAGCAAUGAUCAGUACAUCACCGGUCCCGGAUUCCGCC